rnacentral:tRNA from 1 species
GUGGGUAUAGCGCAGUGAUAGAGCACAUGCUUAGCAUGAGGGAGGUCCUGGGCUCAAUCCCCAGUACCUCCA